GUGACACAAACACAAUGCAACACCGUUGACUUAAUUUCUUCACAGGGACAAACAAUAGCACAAACUUGAGACCUACCUGAACCUGAACCUGAACCUGAACCUGAACCUGAACUCCUCCAUCACACAACAUUUUUACUGUUACUGUUACCAUCCCCAUCCUGAAGCCUUCAUCGUCACCGUGGAUCCCGAUUCACAAAAAUUGCACCCGUCAUGCUUCGCAGAUUCCUCUUCCUACCCUUCCUCACCCUCUUGCUGUCCUUCGCCUAUGCUGAUUCCGCUCCCAACUGCACUCGCCUCACUUCCCUCGUCAAUUUGGAAUCCGAAUUCCAAAUGUUUCAACACCAGGUUCGAGGAUCUCUCCAAAUCAUCGACGAUUGCACCUUUAGGGUUUCCCGAUUCGACAUGCUUCCCGGCUCCGACGUCCACUGGUGGGGCGCCAUGGCUCCCGAUUUCGAUAACCUCACCGCCGGAUUCAUCGUUUCAAACCACGCGUUGAACGGGACCUACAACAAUUCCACCUUCGAUGUGCAUUUGUUGACCAACGUUUCCUGGAGCAUGAUCAACGUCCUCGCCGUCUGGGAUCGCUCCACCGCCUCCGAUUUCGGCCACGUCCUCCUCCGCCGGGACGCUCCGCCGAAGGAGCUUCCCACGGUGUUCGAUAAUUGCAAGGUUUUGUCGAAGAACUUCAGGUUGAGGUGGAGUUUGAAUGUGUCCGAGGAUUCUCUUGAGAUUGGGUUGGAGGCUGCCACUGGGAUCACCAAUUACAUGGCUUUUGGGUGGGCUAACUCCAGUUCUGAUGAUUCAGGGCUCAUGAUUGGUGCUGAUGUUGCCGUUGCAGGGUUUAAGGAAGAUGGUUUUCCCUUUGUGGAUAAUUUUUUCAUUACUAAAUAUAGUGUUUGCGAGAGAAAUAGUGAUGGAGUAGUUCAAGGGGUUUGUCCUGAUUCCGUUUAUGAAGGCUCCGAUGGGGUGGGUUUAGUCAACAAUUCAAUGUUGGUUUAUGGCCACAGGAGAGAUGGGGUGUCGUUUGUUAGGUACCGUUGGCAUUUGAGUAAGGUCAAUGGAAUUCAUGAUCACCCUGUCGACCAUUCAGCGAAUAUGAAGGUUAUUUGGGCUCUGGGGCCUAUUAAGCCUCCUGAUUCUAUUAAUCCUUACUAUCUUCCUCAGAAUCAUGGGGCUGUCAAUUAUGGUCAUUUGCUUUUGAAUAUCUCAGAGCAUGUGAAUGAAUGUGCAGGUCCCAUGGAUGCUGAAGAAAAAGAAGAUCAAGGUAUUAUCACUGCAGAUAAAAAUGUUCCUGUGGUGGUAUCAUCUGCUCCGGCAAUGCAUUACCCCAACCCUCCAAAUCCCGCUAAGGUUCUUUUCAUCAACAAAAAGGAAGCUCCAGUCUUGAGAGUGGAAAGAGGGGUGCCGGUCAAGUUUUCCAUUCAAGCGGGGCACGGGGUUGCACUUUACAUUACAUCAGAUCCGCUUGGUGGAAAUGCUACGAUGAGGAAUCUCACUGAGACUAUUUAUGCUGGAGGUCCUGAUGCCCACGGCGUUCAAGCCAGUCCUACUGAAUUAGUUUGGGUUCCUGACAGGAACACUCCUGAUCACAUCUACUAUCAUUCGUUGUACGAGCAGAAAAUGGGUUGGAGAGUUGAGGUGGUUGAUGGAGGUCUAUCAGACAUGUAUAAUAACAGUGUCGUUUUGGAUGAUCAACAGGUUACCUUCUUCUGGACAUUGUCAAAGGAUUCCAUAUCUAUUGCAGCCCGUGGCGAGAAAAAAAGUGGUUAUCUUGCCAUAGGAUUUGGAAGUGGGAUGAUAAACAGCUAUGUGUAUGUGGGUUGGAUUGAUGAUAGUGGUAUAGGACAUGUAAACACUUACUGGAUUGAUGGAAAAGAUGCUGUAAGUAUUCAUGAUACAAGGGAGAAUUUGACACAUGUCAGAUGUAAAACAGAAAAUGGCAUCAUUACUUUGGAGUUUACACGGCCCUUGGAUCCAUCCUGUAUGCGGGAAAAGAGGGUAGAGUGUAAAAAUAUUAUUGAUCCCACAACUCCACUGAAAGUUGUUUGGGCAAUUGGUGCUAAAUGGUCUAAUGAUCAUCUUACUGACAGGAAUAUGCAUUCUAGUACAAGUAAUAGGCCUAUCCUUGUACACCUGAAGGUUGGGUCAUCGGAAGCAGAGCAGGAUUUACUUCCGGUUUUGGUUGUGCAUGGAUUUAUGAUGUUUGUUGCAUGGGGUAUACUGCUUCCUGGAGGGGUAUUGGCAGCCAGAUACUUAAAACAUCUUAAGGGUGAUGGAUGGUACCGGAUUCAUGUUUACUUGCAAUACUCAGGGUUAGUAAUUAUUCUACUUGCCCUUCUUUUUGCUGUAGCUGAGCUUAAGGGAUUUUUUUUCAGCUCAACACAUGUUAUGUUUGGAUUUGCUGCUAUAUUUUUGGCUUGCAUACAGCCAGUAAAUGCCUUUCUAAGGCCGCCAAAACCAGCGAAUGGGGAGCAGGUACCCUUCAAGAGGGUUAUUUGGGAAUAUUUCCAUUCAAUUGUUGGUAGAUGUGCCGUUGUCGUUGGCAUUGCUGCACUUUUUACUGGGAUGAAGCAUCUAGGACGCAGAUAUGAUGUGGAAAAUGUCCAUGGACUCAGUUGGGCUAUGGCAAUUUGGUUCUUAGUUGGUGCAUUGAUUGUUAUUUAUUUAGAGUACCAUGAAAGGAAGCGAAUAAGGAGGCAAAUACUUGGAAGAAGCAAUUGGGUGCUUGGUAAUCUUGAGGAAGAUGAUUCAGUUGAUCUCUUGAGCCCAACCAGAACAGCUGCAGAUAAAGAUUUAGAACCCUCUGCGACAAUGGAAGUGCAGUUAGAACCUCUGAAUAGAUAAAAUUGCAUUCUCCAUUCCGAUAGACAGUUACCACAAUUUUGCAAAUUCCACGUUUAAUCUGUGAGCUGGCAGGCUUCUUUAUUAGUGAUGAGGCAUUGUCAGAGAAUUGAUGAUGGAUGCUUUGGUUUUCAACAUUGAGUUCAUGUAAACCUUUCGGAGGGAGAAGGACUAGGCAAAGCGCAAAGGUCUACUUUGUUUUAAAGCAACUUGAUCUGAAGUCAACCGCAUAAAAAGAGAUAAGUAAAUAAGUAAUGUUUUAAGUUGACAUAACUCUUUCAGACAAGUAAUAAUUUUCAAAUAUACACACCUUCUAUAUCAUGAGUGGUUUUGCUUCAAUGCUGCGGACUCUUGUAUGCUUCUGGACACGUUUGCUUCUUGUGUCUAGCUUGUUCUUAAGAAUUAAAUGCCUACCUCCUUCCGCAUGGUGGUAGGCUUGCAUGGCUAGAUGACACAGUGCCGGAGGUUUGCUAUUAAUCAAUCCUGUGCUCAAAGAAGGCAUGGACUUUAUGUUUUGAAUGGUUUUUUUACCUUGUUUACUGUUACAUCAUUAAAGUGCAUCACUAGAGUAGCAAUGUUGAGUUUGGCUGUGCAUAAAUGUGUUUGUUUGUUUUUAUUUAUUUAUUUUUCCCUCUCUCUUUAUUCACCGUUACCCUUCAGAUUCAUAAAACCUUUCACUCUUCUGAAUCAUCCAAUGCCUUCUUUGCUCUCCCUCCCUACAUUUUGCUCUCCAAAAUCACCACCGACCUCCCACUUCACUAAGCGUUAGUCCUCCUGCCACACAACACUAAUUGGUUGCUUGCAGUAUCAUAUUUCCCACUUUUUUUUUGUGUUUUCCUCAAAACCCUUUCUGCAAGUGGGUUUCACUGAUGAUGCUGGGUUGGAAGAAUCCAGAUUCCAGACCCUCCUCUGCUUACUCUUGUCGCUCUCCGAAGUUGUAGAAAGUCUCUAGCACCAAACUCAGCAAUGGCGUCUCCAUCUGCAACUGUUGCACUUCUGGAGAAGAAGACAACAAAGGAGGCAAUAGAAGGAAUCUUACCCCUGCAACCCACCCAAAUAACAGCCAAACCCACCACAACCCGACAAAACCGAGAGUAAUUUUUUGGAAUCGGUUGAAAUUUUCAUGUUUCAGUUUAUCAUGGGUGGGGCAAAUUGCGCUCGAAACCACCCGGUGCCAGCUCUAUUAAUAGUAAUCUUUCGUUGUGUUUUUAGAAUCCGAUUAAAGAUGAUGGUCAUUUCUAGGAAGCUCAACUCAGCAAAAGUUUAUUUUGAGGCAGAGAAAAAUGGGAAAAUGGUGUAUUCUUCGAGUGAUGUUAUCCGCUUCUCUUAUUACCUUAUAGUUAAUCGCACGUUAUGUCACCUAAAUUAUUGGAUUUCGUUAAUUUUACAGCUUUUGAAUUUGUAUAUUUUCUCAUUAAACUUUUA